rnacentral:sRNA from 1 species
CUUUUCUUUUCUGUUCUUUGUCUUCGCUGCCUU